rnacentral:lncRNA from 10 species
GAAAGGCUCAGGAAGAAAACCAGUUUAUUAUACUCACAGGUCCUAGAGACAGGAGGCACAGCAUGCCACGUAGGGCCAUGUCAGAGGACACCAGGGUGGCCAGGAGGAGAAGCCAAAGCUGUGGUUUAGGCCACAGCCUUUAUCGAGAUUUUCUUGAUAAAGGCAAGGUGAAGAAAGGCGACCAGCUUAGGACUUGCAGUUGGAGGAAUUUUGGUGGGUUUCAGGCUUAAGGCAGAAAAAUCUUGCCUCCUGGGGUGCAGGCCAGGCUGGUGGAGGAAGGAUGGCUCCAGAGGGGUUAGCUGGCAUAUCAGAGACACACUUGGGGCUGCUUUUUUCUCUAGUACUUGCCUAACCCUGAAGGCAGUGUCUCCGCAGCCAGAAAGGUCUUUUAAGAUGUCUAGACAUCGUAAUGUACAGAAACUUCAGAAACAUUUACAGUGUAGGGCUGCUGACUCCUUUCUCCCCAGUGUGUGUAGCAUUGUCUUAGGAAACUACUUAAAAAGCUUUUGAUUCUUAUAACAGCUUUGAGAAUGAGUUUAUUAUUUUUUCCAUUUUGUCAGUGAGGAAAGUGAGCCUAUGAAAGAUGAAAAAUAAAACAGAACUUCUCAAGGCCACACGACUGGGAAGAGGCAGAACAAGGACUUCACCCGAGUCGUCUGUCUUUUUUUCUGAAUGGUCUGUCUAGAAGUGUGUCAAUGUUAUGAUCCUCUCAAAGAACCACCUUUGGUUUCAUUGAUCUCCCUUUUGCUUUGGUUUUCUAGUUCAUUGAUUUCUGCUUGGGCCUUUAUUAUUUCCUUUCUUCUAUUUAUUUUCAGUUAACUUUAUCCUUUUUUUUUUUUUUUUUCAAAAAAAAUUUUUUUUUUUUGAGACGGAGUUUCGCUCUUGUCCCCCAGGUUGGAGUGCAAUGGUGUGAUCUCAGCUCACUGCAACCUCCGCCUCCCGGGUUCAAGUGAUUCUCCUGCCUCAGCCUCCCAAGUAGCUGGGAUUACAGGCGUAUGCCACCAUGCCUGGCUAAUUUUUUGUAUUUUUAGUGGAGACGGGGUUUCACCAUGUUGGCCAGGCUGGUCUCGAACUCCUGAACUCAGGUGAUCCACCCGCCUCAGCCUCCCAAAGUGCUGGGAUUACAGGCGUGAGCCACUGUGCCCGGCCUUUUUUUUCAGAUUCUUAAGGUGGAAGCCUGGAUCUUUGAUUUGAGACCUUUCUUCUUUUCUAAUAUGGUUGUUUAAAUGCUGUAAAUUUCACUCCUAGCAUUACUUUAGCUGCAUCCCACAGUUUUUAUAUAUAUGCUGUUCUUUAAUUUUUAUUCGGUUCUAAAUACUUUGUGAUUUCCAUUUUGACUUCUCCUUUGACCUGUGGAUUAUUUAGAAGUGGAUUAUAUGAUUUCUUCUGUGAACCAUGGGAGUUAUUUAGUUUCCAAAUAGUUGGGGGUUUCCCAAUUAGUACUUUGCCAUUGAUUUCUAAUUUAGUUCCAUUGUGAUAAGAAAACGUACUUAGUGAUUUAAAUCUGUUUUCCUUUAUUGAGAGUUGUAUUAUGGCCCUGAAUAUGGUCUAUCUUAGUGAAUAUUCUGUGUGUGCUUGAGAACAUGUUUUCUGCCAUUAUUGGGUGGAAUGUUCUGUAAAUGUCAGUUAGGUCUGGUUGGUUAUCUCAGGCUACUAUAUUCUUGCUGAUUUUCUUUCUACUUGUUCUGUUGAUUAUUAAAAGAAGAAUGUUGAAAUAACUUCAGCUAUAACCAUGACUUUGUCUAUUUUCCUUUCUUACUUACCAGUUAUUGUUUCAUAUAUUUUGAAGCUCUGUUUUUUAGUAUAAAAACAUAUAGAAUUAUAAUUUUCUCUUGGAAUGAUACUUUUUUUUCUGGGCAAUAUUCUCUUCC